AUUGAACGCUGGCGGCAGGCCUAACACAUGCAAGUCGAGCGGAUGAAGGGAGCUUGCUCCUGGAAUCAGCGGCGGACGGGUGAGUAAUGCCUAGGAAUCUGCCUGGUAGUGGGGGAUAACGUCCGGCAACGGGCGCUAAUACCGCAUACGUCCUGAGGGAGAAAGUGGGGGAUCUUCGGACCUCACGCUAUCAGAUGAGCCUAGGUCGGAUUAGCUAGUUGGUGGGGUAAAGGCCUACCAAGGCGACGAUCCGUAACUGGUCUGAGAGGAUGAUCAGUCACACUGGAACUGAGACACGGUCCAGACUCCUACGGGAGGCAGCAGUGGGGAAUAUUGGACAAUGGGCGAAAGCCUGAUCCAGCCAUGCCGCGUGUGUGAAGAAGGUCUUCGGAUUGUAAAGCACUUUAAGUUGGGAGGAAGGGCAGUAAGUUAAUACCUUGCUGUUUUGACGUUACCAACAGAAUAAGCACCGGCUAACUUCGUG
rnacentral:rRNA from 1 species